UGCCUACGGGGGGCAGCAGUGGGGGAUAUUGCACAAUGGGGGGAACCCUGAUGCAGCGACGCCGCGUGGGUGAAGGAGUAUUUCGGUAUGUAAAGCCCUAUCGGCAGGGAAGAAGCAAGACGGUACCUGACUAAGAAGCCCCGGCUAACUACGUGCCAGCAGCCGCGGUAAUACGUAGGGGGCAAGCGUUAUCCGGAUUUACUGGGUGUAAAGGGAGCGUAGACGGCAGUGCAAGUCUGGAGUGAAAGGCGGGGGCUCAACCCCCGGACUGCUCUGGAAACUGUACGGCUGGAGUGCAGGAGAGG
rnacentral:rRNA from 1 species